rnacentral:lncRNA from 1 species
UUUAUUGGUGACAAAUUAAUCAAUUUAGUUCACAAUUAACCAAAUAAUUGGUCAUACACACUCUUCUUACCCCAUCCCACCUCAUCCCACCAUAAACCACAACUACCUCACACACACACACCCCAUACCAGCAUCGCCACACCAUACCAGCAUCGCCAACAUCGUCACCACCAUACCAAUAUCGCCAACAUCACCCCACCACCAAUUGCAAACACCAUCCCAAGAUCAUUGUACACCCACUACAAAACUAGAUCUAAAAUAAGAGGGCAUCAAUCUUCAAAAAUUGAAUCUCUCCAUUAAUAACACAUUCAAAAUAUAUAAAUUCUAGACAAGCGACUAUUGAUGAUGGCCGCCACCUCAUCCCAGUCCAAAACACUAAGCUAGUUUUGAAGAUUGAAGUGGAGUAGAACAUCAGGAAGACGAUCAAAGGAUUUGUUUCUCCUUUGUUGUUAGAUCGAUUUGGUCCUUGCCAUCCAUUAACACACACUCAUCAAAGAUUCGCUUCUCCAUCGCUUAAAUCAAUGAUUUGCUUCUCCAUCAAACGAUUAACACACACAUAUUUACACAUACUGAUCGGAGAAGAUUUAUUUCUCUAGUGCUUAAAUCAUCAUCGUUAUUGUGGCGGCAAUGAGUGCGCAACGUUGCUUCGCAGUAGCUCGGUGUUUCUCAAGGUAAUAUUGCUGCGUUGGUGGCUUCAUGAGCGGUUGAGCAUCGCUCAAUGAUACCUUCAGUGAUGGUGUAUGUUAAAGAGAAAGAAGAGAAAAGGGAAAAGAAUAGAGAGAGAAGGGAGAGGGGGAAAUAAUUAGGGUUUGCGAAUGAAAUUUGGUAGAGUUGAUGGAGGUAGGGUGG